rnacentral:misc_RNA from 1 species
GAUGAAGAACGUAGUGAAAUGCGAUAAGUAAUGUGAAUUGCAGAAUUCAGUGAAUCAUCGAAUCUUUGAACGCACCUUGCACUCCUUGGUAUUCCGAGGAGUACGCCUGUUCGAGUGUUAUGAAGCUCUCAAAACGCAAUUGGCUUAAAACCUGAUUGUUGUUUUGGAUUUGAACUUUGCCGUGUUAUAACGGCUGGUUUUAAAAGUAUUAGCUGGUACUAGAACGAAUUGGUUCUACUCAACGUGAUAAUUAUCUGAUCGUUGAGGACAUUCCUUUCACGAGGAAUGGCCAUAGUAAAUUCAAUGGACCGCUUCUAAUCUGGCUUUAAUUCUUUAUUGGAUUAACCACUUUUCAAAUCUGACCUCGAAUCAGGUGGGACUACCCGCUGAACUUAAGCAUAUCAAUAAGCGGAGGA